rnacentral:lncRNA from 1 species
UUCCGGCCAGAUUUGCAGGAAAAUGGAUCUCAUCGAAAGCAAAAAACAAAGGCGUGGAAAUGAAGCACAUGUGAUGUAGAUCAUCACUGUACCAUUAGAUUCCUCUCAUUCUUCCUAUAUUGAGAGAAAGACGGAGGAGAAAAUCAUGGUGUCCAUACAGAUUGUUCAUGAAAUGGUAAAUUGAAUGCACUAAAAGCUUGCCUCAAGUA